rnacentral:rRNA from 1 species
UACGGAGGGUGCAAGCGUUAUCCGGAUUCACUGGGUUUAAAGGGUGCGUAGGUGGGAAGGUAAGUCAGUGGUGAAAUCUCCGGGCUUAACUCGGAAACUGCCAUUGAUACUAUCUGUCUUGAAUACCGUGGAGGUCAGCGGAAUAUGUCAUGUAGCGGUGAAAUGCUUAGAUAUGACAUAGAACACCAAUUGCGAAGGCAGCUGGCUACACGAAUAUUGACACUGAUGCACGAAAGCGUGGGGAUCAAACAGG